CUGUAGAGCUACAAAGUGAUGUAGCAUCAAAGAAUCCAUUUCUAAGCACUCAGAAGAGAAGACGGUGAUUAGGAACCGUCAGGACAGAUUCGCCAAAGACAAGUCAUGCCCGACCAACCUGAUUGCCUUCUAGGAUGAGAUGACUGGCUCUGUGGAUGCAGGGAGACCAGGGGAU